AGAGCAGACCAAACGCCAAUGCAGAAGGCUCAAGAAAGAGGCAAACAGACUAGCCACUGCUCCAGGAUGACUGUGGCUCUUUAUGAGUGAAGAGAAAGGGUGGAGACUGAAGACAGAACUGGGGACAGUGACAGGCUUGGGGAAGAACAGCUGAUUCAGCAGUCCCAAGGGACCUCGGUGACAACGCUGUGAACAUCUAUGGAUUCCGCAUUCAAGUACUUUGUCACAACUGUCUCCACAAGUUGGUACAUCUUCUGUACAAGGCAAAGAAAACUCUAAAAACAUACAAAAAGUCAAUGUUAAUAAUGAGACAUUAUUAUUAAACAUCAACAAAGUGCCAUGUUCUUCAGGCUCCCUAAGGAAUGCUAGCACUUUCAGACUAUAAAUUUUUGUAUCCACAUAAUCAUUGGGAAAAAUUAACUUUAAUGAAAAUAAUCCCUAAUA
rnacentral:lncRNA from 1 species